rnacentral:pre_miRNA from 1 species
UCUGGUAACAAUAGAUUGGGAUUCAGGCGCAGUUCUUUUGACCGAUUCUCCCAGAAUUUUGAGAAUCGCACCUCCUAAACCAAUAGGUUUAAGAUUGUGAGAACGGUCUGAUUCUCAUCGUUCUGGGUGAAUAGGCCAAAAAACCAG